rnacentral:lncRNA from 1 species
GUGCCUCCAGAGAAAAGUCUAAAAUACCCACCACCACCACGACGAUAAUUUUUUCUUAUUUGUUUAUGUCAAGCCAGAUUUGCUCAAAAUAGCCACCGGGCACUCAGAUAGUAUCGUUAUUCAUGAAAAGCAAGAGUCAAUUCCUCCUUACCCUAACCCUAAAAUCUCAUCGAUGGAGCUUGCUCGGAUGUUCAGAUUCAAUCGGACCUUCGCUCCGACCACACCCGAUCUCCAGCCCCAUCACCAAGAGAGGCUGAUAUCAAUAAUGGCUUCGAUUCAAGUCGAUUCUCCGACCGGUAAUCUUCGGUUUCGGGAUCUCAAUUCUUCGUUGAGAAUUGGGGUCUCAAUUCUUCGUUGAGAAUUGGGGUCUCAAUUCUUCGUUGAGAAUCGGUUCUCGCUUUCGGAAAAAGAUUUCGCUUAUGCAAGAGAGUUUUCUUACGAAUCUUUACCUUCUCGAUCUUCAUCUGCAGGUAAUAUUAUGCUUCCUUUUAUUUAGUUAUGCACCACUUGUUUCAUUUUUUGAAGCGGAUUAAUUAUCAUCUGUGAUGGAUUAUCUCAAUUGAUAUGAGUUCUACUUUCAGAAAAAGAAUAAAUGGUUACGUCCAUUGGUUUUUUGGAUAUGAUAUUAGCAAUAUAAUCAUCCUUAGGUUUAAUUUUAUGCACAAAAAAAAAAAAAAAAAAAGAGUUUGCAUCAGUAUUCAGUAGGAAAUAUCUUCUAUUGACUGUUCAGAUAUUCAAUUUUCUGUGAGUAUUUUUGACUGCCUUGCAUCCGUAAUUACUUCUUUGUCUGCUGGUAAAAUGCAAUAAAGCUUGCUUGCUCAUUUCAGAGUUACUUAGUGUAUGCCUUCUAUUUCAGUUUAACUCGUUUACUUUCAUUUCAGUUAGCUUCUUUUAAUUGUUGUGUUGUGAUCCUUGCUUCAUUUGAUACCUCUUAUUUUGCUAUGGCUGAUCUCUUGGACUUGUACUUGAAUGUUUGUAAAGAGUUGUGGUUGUCCCUACAAAUUUUCCUUUGGUGUUAUUUAGGUUUCUGUCACAUAGCUAGCACCAACUUAUAGAAUUUCAUUGCCAUGAAAUACAAUACAUCUGGGCCUAAAUUUCAAGAACUUAUAUUUUUAUUGCCAUCCACCCUCCUUUUCAGGGAUAAUCUUGUAGUAUAUUUGGGAAUAGAGAUUUUAGUAGGAGAGGUGAAUAUUGAAUAUCCAUGCUAAAAUUGUUGAACGUAUCUGCCUUAUUUGAUUCUUUAGGAUAUGAGAAAUUUGGCUAUAAUAAGUUAGUUUUAAUUUGAUUAUAGCAGUCUCAAGUAAGAGAACCGAGGCUUGCUUGACAUCUCAAGGAAAGAGGGCCUGGAAUGUUGAGCCUUUUGAUUUAUCAAGAAUCAAUCUAGUAAAUAUGAUUCAUGAGUUUAGGAAUACUUCAGGUUGAAAGAGUGAAUUGCUUUUACCUGCGUGAAAUGUAAUUGAUUCUGUGUAGCCUCUCUCAACUUUUGUCAGGUUUCUUUGUCUUUGUGAUUUGUGCAUUUUAAAGACCUCAUACAAUCAAGCAUUUGAAAUUAGGCUGGACUUAAAUUUACCAGCUCCAAUGAAUCUGUCCUAUGCAUCUUUUUCAGGCACCACUAUUAAUACCAAGCAACUGGCCUAGAAAUAUUAAAAGGAAGUCUUUUUCUGAUGCUAAGGCCCCCGGUAAUGCUGUAAUACAUGCAUGUCAAGUGAUGACUUAACAGUCUACCAGCCUUUCUUUGCUGGAAAUUGGGCUCUAGUCUAUUAGAAGCGCUCUCAAGAACUUUUUCAUAGUCCAAUCGAAUUUUCAAAACAGUAAGAAUAGUUAUAUAAAUUGUACAAAUAUGCGACAGUGAACUUGAUUAGUUUUUCUUUCUAUAAUGCGAUGCAUGCAUUAGUACAGUUUAGAUUGGUAGAUUAGGAAUUGCACUGCAAUUGAUUGGUUUUUAUGUUUAAAUAAUGCCACUUCAGCUAUUGAUCUGCAGUCGGUAUAUUUUUACAAAUGUAAUUUAUGUUUUGGCCCGAAAAAAUUAAAAUUUUAGUUCCGCCACUGCUUGGAAAUGAUGCGUCCUCACGAAUGAGCAUAUAGCGAACUUCUCAGAUAGUUCUCCAGUUCUUCUUGAUGUCCAUCCCUGGAUGCAAUGGAGCUGCGGUUCCAGUUAUUGUACAUUUAGUUGUACUUGUUUUAUCUGUUUCUUCUGUAUCUUUUGCUGCUAUGCUUUUGUGUAUCUGCAUUCAUUUGGUGGUUGUCUUUUUUGCUCUAAAGUUUGAAAUGCAAAAGGGUACUUCAGGGAGGGAUGCUUCGAUAACCUGAAGCUCGUUGAUGAGAAGGCUUGGGAUCUUGAAAUGAUAAAUGAUGAUGAUGGAGAAAGCGACUUGGGUGAAUGAUAUGACAACUUUUAGGAAGUUGGAAGAUGAGAGGAUAAAAUGAGAAUGAAAAAAUGACUGCGAUGAAGAUUAUGUAGGUUCGAUUCUGAUCGGGAGAUGUUAUUUGGUUUUUUUUUUAUAUGCCUUGGGUUCCUUUUUCACUUCAUCAAAUCAUACGAUGCAUGACAAUGGAAUCAAACUCUAAAAAAGAAAAAAAGAAGUAAGCCCUUAACAACUAUUUGGCCCAAUUGGAUUGUAUGGAGCGUGACAUUAAUAAGUAAAAAUUCCAGUAUUUUGACCCAAUAUGGGCUCAUGUUCGCAUAAUUAAUGGGUCAUCGGCAGUCUCGUUCUGUAUAUAGCCAUUUUCAGGAUCUUGGGCCUACAUCUACACUAUAUAUGAGCAAAUUGGGCCCGUCUUGAAGUUAUAGGGCCUACCUCUACCCAUGGCUUUCAAGUGAUUGGGCCGACUUCUGUUUCACGUUAAUUGGCCCAACUUAGGGCCUGUUUUACGUUAUUGGGCCGACUUUUGGGCUGUAUCAUGUUAUUGGGCCAACUUUUGGGCCUGUUAACAUUUUUGCGCCUUAUUUUGGGCCAUUUUCAUGUUACUGGGCCGACUUUCUGGCCCUUUUUACGUUAUUGGGCCCACUCUUGGGCCUGUUUCAAAUUAUUGGGCCGACUUUUAGG